UUAAAAAUCGCACGGAGGGAAACCGAACCCCUGCGAUCUCAUUCAUCUGUUUGGGACGGGCCGCUCGCUCGCACCGCAUGCGGAGGACCGCAGUGGCGAGGGGAAUCCGAGCUCGCGCGCCUUCUUCCACCUCCCUCCGGUGGGGGGCGAUUGAUCCCCUCUCGUUCUAGCCGCCCUUCGAGUCGUGGAGGAUGGGGGAUUACAACGAUGCCUUCAAUCGCAACAACGCCGCCGUCCAGGCCCGCACCAAAGCCCAGAAUGAGCCAAUGUCCCCCAGCUCAAACAUCUGCAUAUAAGCAAGCUGAUGGUCGGAAGAUAGACAAUAAAAGAGUACUUGUUGAUGUUGAGCAAGGAAGAUCGGUGCCAAAUUGGCGACCUCAAAGGUUGGGUGGUGGACUUGGAACAACCAGGACCGGAGGGGAAGAAGUUAAUCAGAAGCAUUCUGGCAGGGAGCAGCAGAAAUGUGCAUCAGGACAUUCUAGAUCAGAGGAGUCAAGAGCACAAGAUGAUCGUCAGGUGGACAGUUAUUCAUUUUUCAAUGGGUGGACAUGGAGAAGUCUCGAGAAAGGGGACGGGAUCGAGAUCGAGAAUGGGAGAGGCCCCGUGAACGUUCCCAUGAUAGGGCAUGGGAGUGAAGGGAUGACAGACAGUACCACCAUUGGGACCGAGAUAGAAACAGAGAAAGGGACAGAGAGGAGAAAUGAGUGUGGCAGAGAAAGGGAGAGAGAACGUGGUCGUGAUCGGGGUCAUGGCAGAGAUAAGGAAAGAGAACGUGGUCGUGACAAUGACUGUGAACAUGAUAGUCAACCUGAAAGGGACCAGGUGCACGAGAGAGGCUAUGAUCAAGCUGGCUAUGAAAGGGACCAUGGUUAUUCACAUGACAAAGAAGCUGGAUAUGGUAGUGAGUAGAAGCAUGGCAGGGGAAGCUGGAUAAAAUCCAGUAGCUGAGGUUGGUUCGGUUGCCGGUGGUUGCCACUGAGGUGAAUUUUGUUGAGGUCAUUUCCAUUUGGUGAAGCAUGUCGUGUGGAAGAAGCUUCUACAGGUGAGGGCAAGGUGUGGAGCCUGGUGUUGGUGGUGCCGCGUCUCGCUUGGUGCGGCCAGCGGGACGUCCAUCGUCGUGGCUAUCGGUCUCGCCAGUGGCUGCAAAAGGAGAUACACUUGGACCGGUAAUCUAACUCUCCCCAUCGUUAACCCUUUCAGGUCAAAGCUUAGCAAAUUGCCCUUACUUUUGUAUCGUUACAUCACUGACGUGCCAUGAAGCACCUUGGCCAAAACACUAGUGAUAAUUAUUAUUAUGAGCUAUAAUUUACAUAUGUGUCAUAAGUUCUUCUA